AGAGUUUGAUCCUGGCUCAGAUUGAACGCUGGCGGCAUGCUUUACACAUGCAAGUCGAACGGCAGCACGGGUGCUUGCACCUGGUGGCGAGUGGCGAACGGGUGAGUAAUGCACCGGAACGUACCCAGUAAUGGGGGAUAACACAUCGAAAGAUGUGCUAAUACCGCAUACGCCCUGAGGGGGAAAGCGGGGGAUCGUAAGACCUCGCGUUAUUGGAGCGGCCGAUGCCGGAUUAGCUAGUUGGUGAGGUAAGAGCUCACCAAGGCGACGAUCCGUAGCUGGUCUGAGAGGAUGAUCAGCCACAUUGGGACUGAGACACGGCCCAGACUCCUACGGGAGGCAGCAGUGGGGAAUUUUGGACAAUGGGCGAAAGCCUGAUCCAGCCAUUCCGCGUGAGUGAAGAAGGCCUUCGGGUUGUAAAGCUCUUUCGCAAGGAAAGAAAACUUAUCCAUUAA
rnacentral:rRNA from 1 species